UACAGAGGUCUCAAGCGUUGUUCGGAUUCAUUGGGCGUAAAGGGUGCGUAGGCGGCGCGGUAAGUCGGGUGUGAAAUCUCGGAGCUUAACUCCGAAACUGCAUUCGAUACUGCCGUGCUUGAGGACUGGAGAGGAGACUGGAAUUUACGGUGUAGCGGUGAAAUGCGUAGAUAUCGUAAGGAAGACCAGUGGCGAAGGCGGGUCUCUGGACAGUUCCUGACGCUGAGGCACGAAGGCCCAGGGAGCAAACGGG
rnacentral:rRNA from 1 species